rnacentral:lncRNA from 1 species
CUGUGUUUCAGGGCAACCCGUGGCCACCGCUCCAGGGAUGCUGAAUUAGCUGCUGCUCCGCCGAGCCGCUCCACCGUCACCCCCCGCACUCCCGGCCGCGGCUCUCCCUCGUGUUGCCCCCCCACUCUCCCCCCGUGCCGCCGCAGCGCCCGCUCCGUGCCCUCCCCAAGAAGAAGCCGCUCCGACGCUGUCCCAUUGUCUGCACAUCCAUGGGGACCUUCUGUUGUGCGACGGCAGGGGAAGGAAGCGGGCGGUCUGUGCUCUUCUAUUCCGUUCAGUCCCAGAAGGUGGUUUGGGUCCUUUAACCAAAUAUACUCUUUAAUUGCAUCAAAUGGCUGGAAGGAAUUGGUCUGUUGUACACGUAGGAGUGUUGGAGAGCGUCCAAGAAGCAUUUCCUAUGAGCAAUCAGCAUUAAAAGUCGUUACCUGUGAAUUCAGCUGCUUUAUGGGUCCCUUGGGCUCACUACCCUCCCUGUAUUGGGGUCCUCUCCCACACGUAUAGGGGUCCCCACUCAAAUCUGCUGCUGCAUCGCGCAGGGGUUGCCAGCAGCGCACGGAUAGCCCCUAAAACCGGGGUUAUAGCGCUCGUUCAAGAGUCAGACGGUUCAACAAAUGUUAAUCGGAGCCGAAGCUCCGCCUGGGAUUCGCUUUGUUCCGCGCAGCCCAAUAGGCGGCACUGUGGUACUUGGGCUGGAGGAGCGCAUUGCCCUCCCGUUGCUUCCGAGAGCAGCUGAAAGCGGAGCUCUUUGCCUUCGUUUCUUCCUUCUUGCACGGCGUGUUGGGGUCCGGGAGCAGCUCAGGUGCUGAUGCAGAAGUUCUUGUUCGGGUUUUGCAAGGCGGGUUUGGUGCAAACCCAAUUCCUGCGCUGGCUGCAGUGGGAGGAGCUGAGCCCGGCGUCCCCCAGGUAUGCACAGGGACCAUCGCCUUGCACCUGGAACCUGGAUGGAUGGACAGACAGACACACACAGACAGAGCUCAGGUGGUGGGGAAUCGCAGUGGUGAAACCAAACAGAGUGUGAUUAAGUCAAUAGGAAUCUCUUUUUCCUGCCCUUCUUCUGCUGCUGUAUGAACUUGUAUGACUCCAAACGGUACAAAGCGCCUUCCCCACAUCUCCUCACCCCAUAAUGCAGCACCAGAAAUGCUCCCGAGGCUCAGAAAUGGACAUUUCAGGGCUGGAAAAGCUGCAGCUUCCAAGACAAGGAUGGGAACUCACGGGUGAGAUGAAGGAGAGCAGUUCAGCCAUUGCCAUGGAUGCUCUUGGCCUUCCCGUGUGAGGCGAACCCAGUGUGGGGAGCUGCCUUUGUGUCUCAUUGCGAAGCUCUGCAAAGAGAGGAGAGGGAACAGAUGAUGGGAUGCUUUGGGAUAUUUCAUUGCCUGCAGAACCCUUUCAACCACUGAUCUCAGUGCUUGAAAUGGCCCAAUCCAUUACUGAAGCUCAUCAUCACAGAACUGUAGGGGUUGGAAGGGACCUCUAGAGAUCAUCGAGUCCACCUCCCUGCCAA